GACGAACCGUCCAAGCGUUAUUCGGAAUCACUGGGCUUACAGAGUUCGUAGGCGGUCUGGAAAGUUGGGUGUGAAAUCCCUCGGCUCAACCGAGGAACUGCGCUUGAAACUACCAGACUCGAGGGAGAUAGAGGAAAGCGGAACUGAUGGUGGAGCGGUGAAAUGCGUUGAUAUCAUCAGGAACACCGGUGGCGAAGGCGGCUUUCUGGGUCUUACCUGACGCUGAGGAACGAAAGCCAGGGGAGCGAACGGG
rnacentral:rRNA from 1 species